ACCCCCUGGCUAUGGGCAAAGAGACACCGGAUUGGUGGUGGUGCUCUUAUAUCAGUCAGGGGCAAAGCAGAUGUCUAGCCCUUUGUUCAUCCUAGCUUGAUGCCUGGGUUGGUGGCCAGAGCUGUUUCAUGCCUGGGGCACAUAA
ensembl:snoRNA